rnacentral:rRNA from 1 species
ACAGCAGUAGCCGCGGGAAUACAGAGGGUGCGAGCGUUAAUCGGAUUUACUGGGCGUAAAGCGUGCGUAGGCGGCUUUUUAAGUCGGAUGUGAAAUCCCUGAGCUUAACUUAGGAAUUGCAUUCGAUACUGGGAAGCUAGAGUAUGGGAGAGGAUGGUAGAAUUCCAGGUGUAGCGGUGAAAUGCGUAGAGAUCUGGAGGAAUACCGAUGGCGAAGGCAGCCAUCUGGCCUAAUACUGACGCUGAGGUACGAAAGCAUGGGGAGCAAACAGGAUUAGAUACCCGCGUAGUCCCUGUCUCUUAUAA